AAUUAUUGCAAAUUAACGGGUCUUAGAACUCUAACUUCGUUAAUAAUAAGAAAGGAUUUAUUAAAUAAUCACAUCUCUAAUUACACGAAUUAGAGAUGCUUAAACCUGUACUAGAACCGAAAGAUAAAGUCGAAUAUAUAAGAAAAUGGUUUCAUCCUUGUACUGUAACUGUAUUUAAACUGUGAAUUAUAUUAGUAUAACGUUAUAAGUAAGGACUUAAUUUUAAAAUGAUUAAUGUAAUGUGAAGUAGAAAGUUUCAUUUUAUUUAGUUUUGGAUUUGUUUACAGUUAUUUCUCAUUAUAUCAUCAUUUAGUUAAUCUGUGAAUUUUUAGUUUGCAUUUUAGUUAUUCACAUCCAUUUAAAAUUUUAAUUAUGAGACCGACACCAGUUUACUAUAGCGGUGACUUAUAGAUGUUAAUGUUGGUAAUGAGUAUAUAAAUAAUGAUCACAUUAUUUCAAAUCUCUUGAUCUAAUUAAUUAUAGCAACUUUGCUGGUCUUUGGACUUACCUUCCCGUAACCUGAAUCUGAGCAGAAGAUAGAGAAGCUGAAGAUCUGAGAACACUACGCCUUUUCUUUGUAAGGGGUCCAAAGGUCUUUUUGGAAACAAAAUAUCCACCAUUACCUGGAACCGUAGAUGAACGAACAGAAAUAUCUAAAAAUGUUAUACAGAAGGCAAUAUCCAACGUUGAAAAACAUUGGAAGAUACAGCGAGAAGCUUAAACCCGUUAGUAUCUUUCGGACAAAAUUAAAAUGAAAAUUCUGUCGACACGAGAGGAAAUAGUCACCGUCCUAUGUCAUUACAGAAAAUUUCAAUGGCGCGAGAAGGCUUUCAGAUUGCGCCCUCCCUUCCAUCAAACUAAAGUACUUAUUCUUGUAUGUCCACAUCUCGUCCUUCGACGUAACGUACUGAUGAGUCAUUCAUGUCCUCUGCUUAACGUCAGCUUGUCUUUGAACUCGAGGACGUACCGUAACCUGAGCCGGAAGGUAGACAAUGUGAAGAAGGAAGAAUAGGAACAAAUUUUCAUUGUAAGUAGAACGUUCUGGCAAUGGGAAUAUCCAUAAACUAAAUCUAAACUAUACAAUUAGUUUUAUAAUUGGUCAAAAAAGGACUUCUUGGAAACAACUACAAAUACCCAACAUCAUCUGCAACCUUAGAAGAACGAACAGAACUAUUUACACAUAUUAAACAGACAAUAUCCAUAGUUGAAUUACAUCGGAAGCUACAGCGAGAGGCUUACAACCAAAAUGCUCGUCGUUCUAUGUCGUUGCAGAAAAUGAAGUUGCGACAGAGGGCUUGGAGAGUGCCUCGUCCCCUCUCUAAUAAGAGAAUUUGUUUCGAUGUGUCCACAUCUCAUCCUUCGACUUAACGAAUCAUCUGCUCAACUAAGAUUGUCUUCGAAGUCAAGCACUCCCUGUAAGGGGAACUAAAGCAGGAAACUAAGAUUAAUCUGAAGAGUUAAGAACAUAAACAACUUGUCCUAGUAUCUGUACUUAACUGUGGGGGGAUUUAUAAUGUCAGUAUAACGAUUGCCUUAAAAGUAAGAAUACUAAAAUUGGGAAUUUAUAAGCAGUGAUUUAAUAUUACAUUCUUUGUCUAAAGCAGAAGGAGUGUGA